UAAAUCACAGGGCCGCUUCAAAGGACAGAGGAAAAAACAAGGUGAAAACACAGAACUCUUAGAGGGCAGGGAGCUACGAUUCCGCCAUACACCCAGGGGGAAGAAUUAGAAAUAUGUAGCGAAUGGUGUUAAUGACCAACAUGAUGAGAUCCUAUAUGUCUGGGCCUCCUGGAAACACAGAACAACUUAGCCGAACAGCCAGCCAGAAAGAUGCAAGGCCGCAAGGACCUGGGACACUGGGUUGGUGAGGUUUGAUGGGACAUGGCAGGAAGAAAGGAGUGGCAUGAAGUGGUGCAAAGAGAAAGCCCAAAUGUUACUGAGUCCAAGCUCAUUCUGCUCGCUGCACGACAGGCCAAUGAAUCGAAAGAAGAAGGGCAAGGAAUAGCAACUUUAUUGGGAAAGCCAUCAGACUGAGAAGAUGGUGGACUAGUGUCCCAAAGAACCAUCCUACCCAAGUUAUAAUUCAGGCUUCUUUUAUACUAAAAGAGGAGGGGGUGUGUUUGGUUGUUGCAAACUUCUGGUGUCAGAAUCCUUUGUUCUUGCAGGACAAAGGUCAGGUCACAAUGUUCCUGUAAACCUCCAACAAGACAGAUGUUAUUCUCUGUUCUGCAACUUCUUAUCUCCACAUGAAUGGAAAAGUGUUAUACCUUUAAAGGUCAGAGCCUUGAGAAUGGGCUCUCCUGUAUAUUUCAGGCUAUGGGCAACAUUCUUAACUUGUAGUAAAAGCAGUAGAAUACAAAGGUUAAAGUAAAAGAAACAGAUCCAAUGUGGAGUCAGAUUUGUUCUUCUCCAUGACACAAAGACAUCCUCAGCCUCAGGGAGGGAGCAGGUCCCCAAAGCUUCAAAGAUUUUAGUGUAUUACAACCUUUUCUAAAUCUCUUCCUCCUUUACCUAGCAAGCCAGGUACUCAGUGAGCCCCGCAUAGUCCCCUCCCCGCCAUUUCCAUUCUCCUCCUUCAAUACCAUCUGGGUCAGCUGGCUCCUUAUCCUCUGCUGCAGGCCACUGCCUUGUUUUCCCGUGAGCACAAGUCUGAAUGAUGCUCUGCUUAGCCUUUCAUCUUUUCUUUCUGUUGAGCUGGGUGAUGUGAGGAUUUAGGCUUCUGUUAGAUGAGCAUGAAUUUAUGUGGCCUAGACUCCUUAAAGAAUCUGCUUCCUCCACUCCACCUGACCAAUUUCUCUUUAACUUUGGCAAGAGUGACUUUGAAAUCAGAAUUGGGUUCAGGGGGUGUCCAAGAGGCCAAGACUGUGAACACAGAAAGGGAAGAAACAGUUCUGCAAGUGCAGAUGAGAAUUCAAGAAGCAGAGCCCGUGGUAAGAAGUCCGUGGCUCUCUGGGAGCAUCACACAGAAGACUGAAAAUGUGCUCCGUCUCUUGAGAACAGAACCUCACCAUCAGCUCUGGUCCUCCCGCAAAGCGUGUUUCUGGAUGAUUGUUCUUUCCAACUGCAAUUAGUCACACUUUCUUCCUUGUUGGCCUGACAGAAGUGUUGGCUGCACGCAACUGCGGUAUGUGAACUUGCAGAGCUGAGAGACACCGCUGCUCACACGCGCAGCUCGCUCCACUCCUGAGGAUGUACACUUUCUGUUUAAAGAGGCAACAAGGCUGUGGGAAUCUCCAGCAUGAAACGCUUGUGGGAGAAUCGGCUGUGUGUUGAUGUGUCCUCAGGAGAUGAAGGCCCAGAAGACCCUUGGAGUGUGUGCAUGGAUCUCUCUGCAAGACCACACACAGCGUCAGCAGUCCCCCUCUGCACGUCUCCGGCCCUGCCCAGCCACUUCCUCCAAGGUUGACACAGACCUUUCCGUGCUUUUCAGAGGCAUUUGCAGUCUAUUCUGUAGUCUGGCCCUGGCUUGUCCUUCCUCAUCUGUGCCCAGUUUGUCCUUCCUGAUGACCUUCCAUUGUGGUUUGAGCUUUCCUGCUUUGCUCAUACAUUAUCCCUUUAAUUUCAAUUUCAAUUUCACCCUGAUUCUAACUGUUCUUUAGGAUUGAGCUCAGACCUCACUUCCCCCAUGAGUCCUCUUUAAUCACUCCUGCUGGAAGGCAUCUUGCCACUUAUUUCCUAGUUUACAUAUAGACCAGAAGUCUCAUCCCCUCACACCCCAUUGAUCUCUUGCACAUGGAACCGUCUUACACUUACCAUUACGAAUGUAUCUCAUACUCUCAAGAGUAACAUCCUUAAAGACCAAGGUUAUAUGUGUGGGAAGUGAGGGGGAAAUGUAGAGAUGCAAAGACACAUUCUUUUGUGUACCUAAUGUACCUUGGCUGUCAGUUGAGGUUAGCCUGCAGACUGAACGUAAAUGAAAUUGUCUUACAUCCUCUGGGAAGUUCAGGGUCUCCCCUAAGAUUUUUACAAAUUCUGAGAGGUUUAUGGCCUCAUUUCCGUAAUUAGUUACCCUCAUUUCCUUUUCCUAUUUGUCAGAAUCUCACACAUCUCCUAGAGAGUUUACCUUAUCUCAGUUGUGUACCAACUAAAGAUAGAAACUGCUCCUUUUCUUGCAUUUCCCUCAUAAUAUUGUUCACAGAGAGCAUUUGCAGUAAUAGACUAUAUUGAAGUAGCACUUAGACUCCUUUUGUUAGCACAAGGUAAAAAUAGGAUAUGUGUUACAGCUUUUCUUCAGGGUCAUUUCAGCACCUUCAACUGAGGAAUUUCUCACGAGCUAACCUUUCUCCAUAAGAUCUGCCCUGUGCCAUGGGAUGGACCCUACACACCUAUACCCGUUUCCUGUCCACAUCUCCAAAGGCACAUAAAUCCACAUUCCCCACAUUCUCCUUAAUUUCUUUUCAAACUAAUUUAGCUGUUUCUUUUUUUUACCAACACACCUCCAACCACAGACUGGCUACCUCACCUGUCACACCCAAAGCAAAGUAGGGGUCAAGCUGUCACGCUAAGGAGAAGACCGUCCGCUCCUCACACAGCUCAAGUUGCUACUUUACAUUGUUUUGUUGUUUUAAAAUGUUGCUUUUAUUUGCAGACUGCACAAUGGCUGUCAUUAAUUCUAAUUCAAUGUUGACUCCAAAUAAUAUAUCUCAAUACUGGGAAAUUUUAUUUAUUUUUAUUUAUAUUUUUAAAAAUUUAUUUAUUUUUACAGUA